AUGCGGAUUUUUGUGAAAACCUUUACAGGCUGAACCUUCGGAUAUGUUAGAAAACAUAAAGGCCAAGAGCCAGGAUAAGGAAGGAAUUCCUGCUGAUCAGCAAAGACUGAUCUUUGCUGGCAAGCACCUGGAAAAUGGGCAUACUUUGUCUGACUACAACAUUCAAAAGGAGUCUACUCUUCAUCUUGUGUUGAGACUUCAUGGCUAAGAAAAGGGAGAAGUCUUACUCUAUACCCAAGGGAGAAGUCUUACUCCAUUCCUAAGAAAAACAAAUAUAAAAGAAAGAAAGUUAAGCUGGCUGUCCUGAAAUACUACAAUAUGGAUUAGAAUGUCAAAAUCAGUCGCCUUUGUUGGGAGUGCCCUUCAGAUGAAUGUGAUGCUGGAGUUUUUAUGGCCAGCCACUGGACAGACAUUAUCAUGGCUAUGUUGUCUGACCUACUGCUUUAACAAAAUAUAAUACAAGUAAUUAUAUUUGGGUUAAUAAAAGACAUGAACUAACAUUUAAUUGUUGAAUAUUAUUCCAGUGAAUUUUUUAAGCAUCAGAAGUUGAUGGAUCAAAUUGAUAAACUAUACUUUGGCAGAAAAAUUCCAUUAUAUUUAAUAUCAGCUGUCUAGAUAUUAAACCAGUUUGUGUUUC